rnacentral:lncRNA from 1 species
CGACCCCUCCCCAAUCAGGCUCUCCCACCUAUAGGCUCCGAGGGCACCAAGGGCACCGACUACCCCUUUGAGACAAGUCGGCCAGGCCCCCGCUCCUCCCCGGACCAGCCCCUCCUCCCUCGGGCAGCCUGGGAUUGGCGGGCCGGGGGCGGGCCAGGGGCGGGGCCGGGCACCCUUCAUCCCCUGCUGCUGCAGUUGCCGCUGCAGCCCUGCGCUCAGCCUGGAGCAGAGCGGAUCUCACCCUGUGGAACGGAGUGUGCUGAACGUGCCCACCACGAGGCCAGGAAGGGGCCCCGUGGGAAGAGUUCUAUUGUAGACAUCACCAGGAACUGGGUCCCACAGAGUAGUGUGACCGGUGAAAGCAUACUGAAGAGGUGGGCCUUUGACUUUGG